rnacentral:rRNA from 1 species
UGGGGAAUUUUGGACAAUGGGCGAAAGCCUGAUCCAGCAAUGCCGCGUGUGUGAAGAAGGCCUUCGGGUUGUAAAGCACUUUUGUCCGGAAAGAAAUCCUUGGCUCUAAUACAGUCGGGGGAUGACGGUACCGGAAGAAUAAGCACCGGCUAACUACGUGCCAGCAGCCGCGGUAAUACGUAGGGUGCAAGCGUUAAUCGGAAUUACUGGGCGUAAAGCGUGCGCAGGCGGUUUGCUAAGACCGAUGUGAAAUCCCCGGGCUCAACCUGGGAACUGCAUUGGUGACUGGCAGGCUAGAGUAUGGCAGAGGGGGGUAGAAUUCCACGUGUAGCAGUGAAAGUGCGUAGAGAUGUGGAGGAAUACCGAUGGCGAAGGCAGCCCCCUGGGCAAUACUGACGCUCAUGCACGAAAGCGUGGGGAGCAAACAGGAUUAGAUACCCUGGUAGUCCACGCCCUAAACGAUGUCAACUAGUUGUUGGGGAUUCAUUUCCUUAGUAACGUAGCUAACGCGUGAAGUUGACCGCCUGGGGAGUACGGUCGCAAGAUUAAAACUCAAAUGAAUUGACGGGGUCAUAGCUGUUUCCU